rnacentral:misc_RNA from 1 species
GAUGAAGAACGUAGCGAAAUGCGAUACGUAAUGUGAAUUGCAGAAUUCAGUGAAUCAUCGAGUCUUUGAACGCACAUUGCGCCCCCUGGUAUUCCGGGGGGCAUGCCUGUCCGAGCGUCAUUGCUGCCCUCAAGCACGGCUUGUGUGUUGGGCCUCCGUCCUCCUCCCGGGGGACGGGCCCGAAAGGCAGCGGCGGCACCGCGUCCGGUCCUCGAGCGUAUGGGGCUUCGUCAGCCGCUCUUGUAGGCCCGGCCGGCGCUUGCCGACACAUCAAUCUUUUUUCCAGGUUGACCUCGGAUCAGGUAGGGAUACCCGCUGAACUUAAGCAUAUCAAUAAGCGGAGGA